AUGGGCACCCAGACCUUCUGCUGUGUGGUUCUCUGUAUUCUGGGAGCAGAGCCCACCAGUGCUGGGGUCAUCCAGACGCCCAGGCACACAGUGACAGAGAAGGGACAAGCGGUCACUCUGAGGUGUGAGCCAGUGUCAGGCCAUGCUGCUCUUUUCUGGUAUAGACAGACCUCGGGACAAGGACUGGAAUUUCUGAUUUACUUCAACAACCAGGCUCGUAUAGACGACUCAGGGAUGCCCAAGGAUCGAUUCUCAGCCAACAUGCCUAAUGCAUCGCUCUCCACUCUGAAGAUCCAGCCCACAGAUGCCAGGGACUCUGCCGUGUACCUCUGUGCCAGCAGCUUAACCACAGCACUGCAUGACUACACCUUCGGCUCAGGGACGAGGCUGACGGUUGUAGAGGACCUGGCAAAUGUGAGCCCACCCCAGGUCGCCAUGUUUGAGCCAUCAGAAGCAGAGAUCGCCAGCACCCAGAAGGCCACGCUCGUGUGCCUGGCCAAAGACUUCUACCCUGACCACGUGGAGCUGAGCUGGUGGGUGAACGGGAAGGAGGUCCACAAUGGGGUCAGCACGGACCCCCAGCCCUACAGGGAGGAUGCCGAUUCCAGUCACUCCAAAUACUGGCUGAGCAGCCGCCUGAGGGUGUCAGCUGCCUUCUGGCACAACCCCCGCAACCACUUCCGCUGCCAAGUCCAGUUCUUUGGGCUCACGAUGGACGACGAGUGGACUUACAACGGUAGUAAACCUGUCACCCAGAACAUCAGUGCUCAGACCUGGGGCAGAGCGGACUGUGGCAUCAGCUCGGCAUCCUAUCAGCAAGGGGUCCUGUCUGCUACCGUCCUCUAUGAAAUCCUGCUGGGGAAGGCCACCCUGUACGCUGUGCUGGUCAGCGCCCUGGUGCUGAUGGCCAUGGUCAAGAGAAAGGACUCCUGACGCCCCUCAGAAGAUGAAGCCGCAGCUUCCGACCUGUGACAGCCCCAGUGUGAAUUCUCCCUACGCCAACGCUUCUGAAGAGCUGGCAUCUCUCUCCACCCCAGUAUCUUCCCCCUGAGUGU